rnacentral:rRNA from 1 species
AUUGAACGCUGGCGGCAUGCCUUACACAUGCAAGUCGAACGGCAGCACGGGUGCUUGCACCUGGUGGCGAGUGGCGAACGGGUGAGUAAUACAUCGGAACAUGUCCUGUAGUGGGGGAUAGCCCGGCGAAAGCCGGAUUAAUACCGCAUACGAUCUACGGAUGAAAGCGGGGGGCCUUCGGGCCUCGCGCUAUAGGGUUGGCCGAUGGCUGAUUAGCUAGUUGGUGGGGUAAAGGCCUACCAAGGCGACGAUCAGUAGCUGGUCUGAGAGGACGACCAGCCAAACUGGGACUGAGACACGGCCCAGACUCCUACGGGAGGCAGCAGUGGGGAAUUUUGGACAAUGGGCGAAAGCCUGAUCCAGCAAUGCCGCGUGUGUGAAGAAGGCCUUCGGGUUGUAAAGCACUUUUGUCCGGAAAGAAAUCCUUGGCCCUAAUACGGUCGGGGGAUGACGGUACCGGAAGAAUAAGCACCGGCUAACUACGUG